rnacentral:misc_RNA from 1 species
GAAAUGCGAUAAGUAAUGUGAAUUGCAGAAUUCAGUGAAUCAUCGAAUCUUUGAACGCACAUUGCGCCCGCCAGUAUUCUGGCGGGCAUGCCUGUCCGAGCGUCAUUUCAACCAUCAAGCCCCCGGGCUUGUGUUGGGGACCUGCGGCUGCCCGCAGGCCCUGAAAACCAGUGGCGGGCUCGCUGUCACACCGAGCGUAGUAGCAAUCACCUCGCUCAGGGCGUGCUGCGGGUUCCGGCUGUUAAACAGCCUUACAAAACCCAAGGUUGACCUCGGAUCAGGUAGGAAGACCCGCUGAACUUAAGC